UACAGAGGGGGCAAGCGUUGUUCGGAAUUACUGGGCGUAAAGAGCGCGCAGGCGGUCGUUCAAGUCGCGUGUGAAAGCCCCCCGGCUCAACUGGGGAGGGUCACGCGAUACUGAUCGACUCGAAGGCAGGAGAGGGAAGUGGAAUUCCCGGUGUAGUGGUGAAAAUGCGUAGAUAUCGGGAGGAACACCAGUGGCGAAGGCGACUUCCUGGCCUGUUCUUGACGCUGAGGCGCGAAAGCUAGGGGAGCAAACGGG
rnacentral:rRNA from 1 species